rnacentral:rRNA from 1 species
UACGAAGGGGGCGAGCGUUGUUCGGAUUUACUGGGCGUAAAGGGCGCGUAGGCGGCGGGUCAAGUCGAGUGUGAAAGCCCCGGGCUCAACCUGGGAGGUGCGCUCGAGACUGGUCUGCUAGAGUUCGGGAGAGGAGCGUGGAAUUCCCAGUGUAGAGGUGAAAUUCGUAGAUAUUCGCAAGAACACCAGUGGCGAAGGCGGCUCACUGGCCCGAUACUGACGCUGAGGUGCGAAAGCGUGGGGAGCAAACAGG